UUGUCAAAAUAACUGCUUGGGAAACAAAAAUACCUAACUACAAAGAAGUUCACAUGUAGAUUUAUAAGAAAACAUUCUAAGACAAAAAACAGACCUACCAAAUCUAAAACUAGUAACACUGUCUCAUAUGUCUCAAAUAAAAAAAAAAACAAUAAAAAACAAACAAACAAACAAACAAAACCAAAAAAAAUUUAAAAUACUCACAUUCUCAAGAGCAUUACUAUAUACAGGACCCUGCAGGUAGUGGGAAUAAACAAAGGAACUUUUUCAUAGGAAACAAAGGAACUUUUUUCUUCUUCUCAGUCUGUGGGAGCUGUCACUGGGCAGGUCGGGUCAGGGGUGGCAGUGGCUGCUCAGGGAUGGGUUUGGCCCAUGUCCCUGGAAGGAGCCACUGCCCAAGCAGCUGCACUGACCCCGGGCUCUGCUCUCAGCCUUCUGGGCUCUGUUGGCUGGCACAGCCUGUGCCAAGGGGUGGCAAGGUGCCUGCAGGCCCCAGCUCUGGGGAAACAGAGACCAUCCUGGCCGUAUCCAGCGUGCUGCCAGCUCAGCAGUGGAGCACAGCACGGGCUCACGCUGCCCAUUGCUCCCAGAGAUGCAGCCAGCACCACCAGACAAGCUAACAAUAUCUGGAGAAGCAUGAAAAGAGUUUUCUGCUGAGGAACACAGUGUUUGAUUAAGUUAAUGGCCAUUGUGGCUGGUGGAGCACUUUUCCUGAUGAUGUGCUAUGCUGGAAUCUGGUAUUGCUGGAAGAGAAAAGGUUUUCCUGUAGCCUACAAAGAGAAAGCUGCAUGAGAAAUACCUAGGCCUGCACAGGGACAACACCAGCCCCACAAGGCAGCAGCAGCUGCAGAAUCAGCCUCAGGAUUAGAACCUGCCAGUUCCAGCUCUCCACAACAGACCACAGACUGCUGGGGGGUUCCCCACAAGGUAGGAGCUGCAGAAUUGGCUUCAGGACUGAAACCAUCAAAUUCUGGCUUCUUACAACAAAACACACAAAAAGCAGAGGGGCGUGGUCAGACACAAACUUUGAAGAAUUUAAGAUUUUAAAGAAGCUGAGGCCUUAUUGAAAAAGAAGCCUUGCUAAAUCUAAUUAAAAUAAAUAGAUGGGCUUUGCUAAAAUUAAAGGUAGAGAGAGAGGCUCUGCUUAAAUUAGAGCUUAAUCAUUGGCUAAUAAGUAAUUUUUUGUGAGCUUUAUGCUUGUUCACCUGGGCUUCUAAUGAGAAACAGUAUCUGGUAAAGAACUUCAAGAGCAGAAGACAGUUGCACAUCAGAAACUCAUUGAAGAUACGAAUCUAGGAGCCCAGCCAAGGGUCCAUUCGUCACUUUGCAUUGAAAAGGUUGAAAGGUCAGAAGAAGGAAGAGCCAUAUCCCUUCUUCCCUUCUGUGACCCCUCCCCAUAAAAAGACCAGUGACCCAUUUCAAAGAUCAAAUUAUGCAUGCUUAAUUGCUUUUUUCCUAAGUGGCAUAGGAAG